rnacentral:rRNA from 1 species
AUUGAACGCUGGCGGCAUGCUUUACACAUGCAAGUCGAACGGCAGCGCGGGGGCAACCCUGGCGGCGAGUGGCGAACGGGUGAGUAAUAUAUCGGAACGUACCCAGAAGUGGGGGAUAACGUAGCGAAAGUUACGCUAAUACCGCAUACGAUCUACGGAUGAAAGUGGGGACCUUCGGGCCUCAUGCUUUGGAGCGGCCGAUAUCUGAUUAGCUAGUUGGUGAGGUAAAGGCUCACCAAGGCGACGAUCAGUAGCUGGUCUGAGAGGACGACCAGCCACACUGGAACUGAGACACGGUCCAGACUCCUACGGGAGGCAGCAGUGGGGAAUUUGGACAAUGGGGGCAACCCUGAUCCAGCAAUGCCGCGUGAGUGAAGAAGG